GAUCACUAAGUAAAUAUAAGAUAGUCCAUGCUUAGGGAAGAUGCAGUGUCCUGCCACAUUAGUUUAGGGUAGACAUUUCAUGCCAACUGAAGAUGGAUUAUUUCCAAAUUACUUUUGUGAAUUUCUAUUUAAAGGCUUAUUAGGCUUGUAGCCGAUCUGCAUAAUAAUCCAAGAAUAAAAUAAAUUAUAAAUAACCCUUAU
rnacentral:lncRNA from 1 species